rnacentral:rRNA from 1 species
UACGGAGGGUGCAAGCGUUAUCCGGAUUCACUGGGUUAAAGGGUGCGUAGGUGGGCAGUUAAGUCAGUGGUGAAAUCUCCGGGCUUAACCCGGAAACUGCCAUUGAUACUAUCUGUCUUGAAUAUCGUGGAGGUAAGCGGAAUAUGUCAUGUAGCGGUGAAAUGCUUAGAUAUGACAUAGAACACCAAUUGCGAAGGCAGCUUACUACCCGAAUAUUGACACUGAGGCACGAAAGCGUGGGGAUCAAACAGG